rnacentral:rRNA from 1 species
UACGUAGGGGGCUAGCGUUGUCCGGAAUCAUUGGGCGUAAAGAGCGUGUAGGCGGUCCGGUAAGUCCGCUGUGAAAGUCCAGGGCUCAACCCUGGGAUGCCGGUGGAUACUGUCGGGCUCGAGUCCGGAAGAGGCGAGUGGAAUUCCUGGUGUAGCGGUGAAAUGCGUAGAUAUCGGGAGGAACACCUGUGGCGAAAGCGGCGCACUGGACCACAACUGACGCUGAGGCGCGAAAGCUAGGGGAGCAAACAGG